AAAUUGUUAAAUAUUUCAGAAAAACUUUCUGAAAUAUAAUUUCUCCAUACAAUGAAACAGUUUUUUUCAUGUAUCUAUAAAUAGAUACAGGAGCCUCUAGUUAUCUAAUGAGGGUUAUAUAUGGUGCAUAAUUUUAAUACCAUAUUUGUUUCAUCUUACUUCAAAUUUGAAAGUACUUUUGCUCUAAGUUUCCUAAAAGUAUUUAAUACUUUUUUUUUCAAUUUAGAUUAAAUCUCUUGAUGAACAGUGUGUGGUUGGCAAAAUUUCCAAGCACUGGACUGGACUUUUGAGAGAGGCAUUUACAGAUGCUGAUAACUUUGGAAUCCAGUUCCCUUUAGACCUUGAUGUUAAAAUGAAAGCUGUAAUGAUUGUGGGCAUAUGUGGAAAAAAUUUAGUGAAACAAGGAAACUUUACCAUGACUCAUAGUAAUUAAAUUAAACCAUCUAAUAUAGGAGUAUGAGGUACAAUAAGAGUGUACAUUCACUCAAGUGUGUAGACCUAACUACCAAAUUACAGGAAAUAAUUGGAUAUACCAGUGAUUCUGAAAUUGCCUUCACAUUAGAACCACCUAGGGACCUUUAAAUACCCCAAGGACUAGUCCAUACCUCAGUUCAACUAAAUCAGAAACU
rnacentral:sRNA from 1 species